AGUAAUGCUUGGGAAUCUAGCUUAUGGAGGGGGAUAACUACGGGAAACUGUAGCUAAUACCGCGUAGAAUCGAGAGAUGAAAGUGUGGGACCUUCGGGCCACAUGCCAUAGGAUGAGCCCAAGUGGGAUUAGGUAGUUGGUGAGGUAAAGGCUCACCAAGCCGACGAUCUCUAGCUGGUCUGAGAGGAUGACCAGCCACACUGGGACUGAGACACGGCCCAG
rnacentral:rRNA from 2 species